CUUCUAUAAGGCAUAUUUCGAAUACAAAGCUUUUCCAAAGAUAAUAUUCUGCCUAUGAGAGAUAUAACAUUAAUGAACCAUUAAAUGUCAGACAACCUGAAUCCAAUUUUUAAAAACAGUUUAAUUACCUUACUGGAGUUUGCUAAAAGCACUUUAAGUAAACUUAUUCUGAGGGGAAAAAAAAAUCUGAAGAUGCUGUAUUUCAUAGUUGCCUAUACCAAGAAUAUUAGAUGAACUAACAAACAGAUGUGUUGUUAUUUAUAGUUGUACACUCUUUUCACAUAUACAAUGGUCCAUUAUUUCUUCAUGAGACCCAGGUGUAUAUAGGUCAGAUUAUUAUCUUCAUUAUUCUGAGUGAAGAAAUUGAAGCUCAGAAAGGUCAAAUGACUUGCACAAGGUCAUACAACUAGUGAGGAGCCAGUGCAAACCCAGGAGGCCCAACUCCUAGUCUUAUUUUAUUCCAUUAUAUAAUGACACCUCUCACUUGGUUUUGAGGUCCCUGUUACAAAGACAGACACAUAACUAACAUGAUCUAUGACUUUUAAAAGAAGCCAUGUGAUUAAUUUUAAAGAGAAACAACAUUAAGCACCAUUGGAUGAUUCGCCCAUACACACACACACACAAAAAAAAAAAAGGAAAAAAAGCCAGGGAUGUUUCUGCAAGUCAUGAGACAAUUAUGCUAAUUACCAAUGUGCCUCCUCCCUAAGCAGAAUAUUCCUUGUGUUAAACAUGUUAUUUAAUCUUUAUAACCCUCAUAUGACCCAGAUGACUUGGUCCAACCCCCCACAGUUCUAUUGUUAUACCUAUAAAUAUAGAACCUGUUUUUCUUCAUUUUUCUAUGGGAUAGAUUGAGAGAAAAAUAAACAAAAAACACCCUCUGCCAAGUACUUAGAGCUACUUUUGUGGGCACUGGGAAAUCUGAAACUUCACUGCUAAUUGCAUCCACAUAAAAACAGAAAUUAUCUUCUAAGGAUAUCAUCAGGGACUCCAUCAAGGCAAAUAUUCAUGAAAUUGGGCCUGUUCGCUUUUCUUUCCAUCUUGGUUCUGGGCAUGUUGCCAUUUUCUUGAUCUCUGAACUCUAAUGCUGACCUGCCACAAAACUUCAGGAACAACAUUAAGGAUCAGAUAAUAACUCCACAUAACUUUAUGGUUCUUUGUCAUAAGAAAAAAUUUAGCAUAUAUUUUUCCUCUUCAAGGAAAAUGCAAAUUAAAACUAUAUUGAAAAAUAAUUUUUUCACUUAAAGAUUAGAAAGUUUGAUAACACUCUAUAGAAAUGUGAACAGGCACUCACAGUGCAGAUGUGAAUAUAAAUUAUAAUGACCUCUAUAGAGUAAUUCACAAUGCCUAACAAAAUUAUAAAUGCACACGUUCAUUGAGCCACUAAGUUCACAUACAUGAAUUCAUCUUACAAUACACAUAAGAAGAAAUGGCAUGUACAUAAGACCUUGUUUAUUUCAACAUUGUUUAUAUUAACAGAAGAUUAAAAACAAUAUAAAUUAUUCAUGAGUUAAAAGCUGGUAAAUCAUGAUACAGCUAUCAAAUGAAACCUUAUGAAGAUAAAAAAAACAGAAAGUUCUUUAUACUACUAUGAAAUGAUCUCCAAGAUACUUAAUGUGCA
rnacentral:lncRNA from 1 species